rnacentral:rRNA from 1 species
UGUGUAGGCGGUGCUCUAAGUUUGGUGUGAAAUCUCCCGGCUCAACCGGGAGGCUGCAUCGAAUACUGGAAUGCUAGAGGGUGGGAGAGGUAAGCGGAAUUCCUGGUGUAGCGGUGAAAUGCGUAGAUAUCAGGAGGAACACCUGUGGUGUAGACAGCUUACUGGACCACUUCUGACGCUGAGACACGAAAGCGUGGGUAGCAAACAGGAUUAGAUACCCUGGUAGUCCACGCCCUAAACGAUGCAUACUUGGUGUGGGCCAUUCAUUUGGUCUGUGCCGGAGCUAACGCGUUAAGUAUGCCGCCUGGGGAGUACGGUCGCAAGGCUGAA